UACGGGAGGCAGCAGUAGGGAAUCUUCGGCAAUGGACGGAAGUCUGACCGAGCAACGCCGCGUGAGUGAAGAAGGUUUUCGGAUCGUAAAGCUCUGUUGUAAGAGAAGAACGAGUGUGAGAGUGGAAAGUUCACACUGUGACGGUAUCUUACCAGAAAGGGACGGCUAACUACGUGCCAGCAGCCGCGGUAAUACGUAGGUCCCGAGCGUUGUCCGGAUUUAUUGGGCGUAAAGCGAGCGCAGGCGGUUAGAUAAGUCUGAAGUUAAAGGCUGUGGCUUAACCAUAGUACGCUUUGGAAACUGUUUAACUUGAGUGCAAGAGGGGAGAGUGGAAUUCCAUGUGUAGCGGUGAAAUGCGUAGAUAUAUGGAGGAACACCGGUGGCGAAAGCGGCUCUCUGGCUUGUAACUGACGCUGAGGCUCGAAAGCGUGGGGAGCAAACAGGAUUAGAUACCCUGGUAGUCCACGCCGUAAACGAUGAGUGCUAGGUGUUAGACCCUUUCCGGGGUUUAGUGCCGCAGCUAACGCAUUAAGCACUCCGCCUGGG
rnacentral:rRNA from 1 species